rnacentral:tRNA from 1 species
GUCCGGGUGCGCAGGCAACGGCUACUUCUCCUGUCAAGAGAGCAACGCGGGUUCGAAUCCCGUCGCCGGCCC